rnacentral:rRNA from 1 species
UCAGUGGCGUCCGGGUGCGUAACACGUAGGUGACCUGCCCCUGGAUGGGGGAUAACGUGCCGGAAGGCGCGCUAAUACCGCAUACGCUCUCGGGGUCAUAGCCGAGAGGAAAGCCUGGCAACAGGCGUCCAGGGAGGGGCCUGCGGCCCAUCAGCUUGUUGGUAGGGUAAUGGCCUACCAAGGCGAAGACGGGUAGGGGGUCUGAGAGGGUGGUCCCCCACACGGGCACUGACACACGGGCCCGACUCCUACGGGAGGCAGCAGUGAGGAAUCUUGCGCAAUGGGCGAAAGCCUGACGCAGCAACGCCGCGUGGAGGAUGACGGCCUUCGGGUCGUAAACUCCUUUUCUGCCGGAGGAGCAAGGACCGUACGGCAGGAAUAAGUCUCGGCUAACUACGUGCCAGCAGCCGCGGUAAGACGUAGGGGGCGAGCGUUGCCCAGAUUUACUGGGCGUAAAGCGGGUGUAGGCGGCCGGGUAAGUCCCGUGUGAAAGCCCACGGCUCAACCGUGGGACGUCGCGGGAAACUGCCCGGCUUGAGGGCAGCAGAGGGUGGUGGAAUUCCCGGUGUAGCGGUGAAAUGCGUAGAGAUCGGGAGGAACGCCAGUGGCGAAGGCGGCCACCUGGGCUGUCCCUGACGCUCAGACCCGAAAGCUGGGGGAGCGAACGGGAUUAGAUACCCCGGUAGUCCCAGCCCUAAACGAUGCUCACUAGGUGUCGGGGGGUUCCUCCCUCGGUGCCGAAGCUAACGCAUUAAGUGAGCCGCCUGGGGAGUACGGCCGCAAGGCUAAAACUCAAAGGAAUUGACGGGGACCCGCACAAGCGGUGGAGCAUGUGGUUUAAUUCGAUGCAAAGCGAAGAACCUUACCAGGCCUUGACAUGCCGGAAGUACCGAACCGAAAGGGGAGGGACCCGUAAAGUCGGGAGCCGGCACAGGUGGUGCAUGGCUGUCGUCAGCUCGUGCCGUGAGGUGUUGGGUUAAGUCCCGCAACGAGCGCAACCCCCGCCUCUAGUUGCCACCGGUUCGGCCGGGCACUCUAGAGGGACUGCCGGCGAUGAGCCCGGAGGAAGGUGGGGAUGAAGUCAAGUCAUCAUGCCCUGAUGGCCUGGGCGACACACAUGCUACAAUGGCCGGGACAAUGGGUUGCGAACCCGCGAGGGGGAGCCAAUCCCAAAAACCCGGUCCCAGUUCGGAUCGCAGGCUGCAACUCGCCUGCGUGAAGCCGGAAUCGCUAGUAACCGCCGGUCAGCCACACGGCGGUGAAUACGUUCCCGGGUCUUGUACACACCGCCCGUCACGUCAUGGGAGCUGGCUCCACCCGAAGCCGGUGGCCCAACCCGCAAGGGAGGGAGCCGUCGAAGGUGGGGUCGGUGA